rnacentral:rRNA from 1 species
CUACGGGGGGCUCCAGUGAGGAAUAUUGCACAAUGGGGGGAACCCUGAUGCAGCAACGCCGCGUGGAGGAUGACGCAUUUCGGUGUGUAAACUCCUUUUAUAUGUCAAGAAAAUGACGGUAGCAUAUGAAUAAGCACCGGCUAACUCCGUGCCGGCAGCCGCGGUAAUACAGAGGGUGCAAGCGUUACUCGGAAUCACUGGGCGUAAAGGACGCGUAGGCGGGUUGGAAAGUCAGGUGUGAAAUCCUACAGCUUAACUGUAGAACUGCACUUGAAACUUCUAAUCUAGAGUAUGGGAGGGGGAGAUGGAAUUAGUGGUGUAGGGGUAAAAUCCGUAGAUAUCACUAGGAAUACCUAAAGCGAAGGCGAUCUCCUGGAACAUUACUGACGCUAAGGCGUGAAAGCGUGGGGAGCAAACAGGAUUAGAUACCCCCGUAGUC